ensembl:snoRNA
AGCUCUUGCGUUUGCUUUUGUUUGGUUUGUGGACAAAGACUUAGGCAAAAGCACAAGACAAGUGCUGUCUCGAAGCCCAGAACUCACCGUUCAGUCUGAGUGUUGAUACGGAUAAGAAGGAACGGA